AACCCUUGUCCUUAGUUACCAGCACGUUAUGGUGGGCACUCUAAGGAGACUGCCGGUGACAAACCGGAGGAAGGUGGGGAUGACGUCAAGUCAUCAUGGCCCUUACGGCCUGGGCUACACACGUGCUACAAUGGUCGGUACAAAGGGUUGCCAAGCCGCGAGGUGGAGCUAAUUCCAUAAAACCGAUCGUAGUCCGGAUCGCAGUCUGCAACUCGACUGCGUGAAGUCGGAAUCGCUAGUAAUCGUGAAUCAGAAUGUCACGGUGAAUACGUUCCCGGGCCUU
rnacentral:rRNA from 1 species